GCACGAAGUCGGAAUUGCUAGUAAUCGUAGGUCAGCAUACUACGGUGAAUACGUUCCCGGGCCUUGUACACACCGCCCGUCAAACCAUGAGAGUUGGCAACACCCGAAGUCGGUAGUCUAACCGCAAGGAGGACGCCGCCGAAGGUGGGGGUUGAUGAUUAGGGUUAAGUCGUAACAAGGUACC
rnacentral:rRNA from 1 species